CCCCCCUUCCCCGCACUUCGGUGGGCGGGGCUGGGAAGGGGCGGAGCCUGCCCAGGAGGGCUUGGUCUGAAGCUGGUGUUUCUGAGCCGCGGGGCGGGGGCUGCUGGUCGCCCCGCCGUGUGUUCUGUUUUGCAGCUUGCAGGCUGUUGCGGGACAGGGACCACACCCGCCAGCUCAGAAAAGAGUUCCCAGGAUGGCACAGUGAGAAGAGGCGCUUGACCCCAAAGCUGGCAAGCCGAGUUCAAUGCCAUGGUGUGGAAGACAGAACCAACUCAAGCAAGUUGCCCUCUGACCUACACACACACACACACACACACACACACACACACACACUAAAAUGUGUCAAUAAACAACCCAGGUUUGUUUUCAUCAGA